rnacentral:rRNA from 1 species
CCUUGAUCGUACUGCAAACCGACUCAGGUGGACGGGGUGAAUAUCCCAAGGCGCGUGAGAGAACCCUGGUUAAGGAACUCUGCAAAUUGACACCGUAACUUCGGGAGAAGGUGUGCCGCUGGCGGUUAGUGACUUCGCGUCACGAAGCUGUCGGUGGUCGCAGUGAAAUGGCGGUUGUGACUGUUUACUAAAAACACAGGACUCUGCGAAGUCGUAAGACGACGUAUAGGGUCUGAUGCCUGCCCGGUGCUGGAAGGUUAAGGGGAUAUGUCAGCGCAAGCGAAGCAUUGAACCGAAGCCCCAGUAAACGGCGGCCGUAACUAUAACGGUCCUAAGGUAGCGAAAUUCCUUGUCGGGUAAGUUCCGACCUGCACGAGGGCAUAACAACAUCCGCACUGUCUCGACCAGGGACUCAGCGAAAUUACAUUGGGGGUGAAGAUGCCCUCUACCCGCGGAAAGACGGAAAGACCCCAUGAACCUUUACUGCAACUUGGCAGUGAUUUUCGGGUUGUUCUGCGUAGGAUAGGUGGGAGGCUUUGAAGCCGGGCUUCCGGGUUCGGCAGAGCCAACGUUGAAAUACCACCCUGAAUAAUCUGGAAAUCUAACCUGCGCCCAUGAUCUGGGCGAGGGACACUGCCUGGUGCAGUUUGACUGGGGCGGUCGCCUCCUAAAUUGUAACGGAGGCGUGCGACGGUUCCCUCAGGCUGAUUGGAAACCAGCCGUAGAGUGCAAACGCAUAAGGGAGCUUUACUGCGAGACUGACAAGUCGAACAGUUGCGAAAGCAGGUGUUAGUGAUCCGGUGGUACCACAUGGAAGGGCCAUCGCUCAUCGGAUAAAAGGUACUCUGGGGAUAACAGGCUGAUCGCGCCUGAGAGUUCACAUCGGCGGCGCGGUUUGGCACCUCGAUGUCGGCUCAUCGCAUCCUGGGGCUGGAGCAGGUCCCAAGGGUUUGGCUGUUCGCCAAUUAAAGCGGUACGCGAGCUGGGUUUAAAACGUCGUGAGACAGUUUGGUCCCUAUCUUCCGUGGGCGCAGGACACUUGAGAGGAGCUAUCCAUAGUACGAGAGGACCUGGAUGGACGAACCUCUGGUGCUCCGGUUGUCACGCCAGUGGCAUAGCCGGGUAGCCAUGUUCGGAACAGAUAACCGCUGAAGGCAUAUAAGCGGGAAGCUGGCCUCAAGACUAGGUGUCCCUGACGCAAGUCACUAAAGGCCCCUCGAAGACUACGAGGUUGAUAGGCUCGGUGUGGAAGCGCUGCGAGGCGUGGAGCUAACGAGUACUAAUAGGCCGUGCGACUUGACCCC